rnacentral:rRNA from 1 species
AGAGUUUGAUCCUGGCUCAGAACGUACGCUAGCGGCACGCCUAACACAUGCAAGUCGAACGAAGUAGCAAUACUUAGUGGCAGACGGGUGAGUAACAUGUGGGUAUCUACCCUUUGGCCUGGAAUAACACGAGGAAACUUGUGCUAAUACCGGAUAAGCCUUUACGGAGAAAGCUUUACGCACCAUUGGAUGAGCCCGCACUUGAUUAGUUUGUUGGUAGGGUAAUGGCCUACCAAGACUAUGAUCAAUAGCUGAUUUGAGAGGAUGAUCAGCCACAUUGGGACUGAGACACGGCCCAAACUCCUACGGGAGGCAGCAGUGGGGAAUCUUGCACAAUGGAGGAAACUCUGAUGCAGCGAUGCCGCGUGAGUGAAGAAGGCCUUUGGGUUGUAAAGCUCUUUCGUCGGGGAAGAAAAUGACUGUACCCGAAUAAGAAGGUCCGGCUAACUUCGUGCCAGCAGCCGCGGUAAUACGAAGGGACCUAGCGUAGUUCGGAAUUACUGGGCUUAAAGAGUUCGUAGGUGGUUGAAAAAGUUGGUGGUGAAAUCCCAGAGCUUAACUCUGGAACUGCCAUCAAAACUUUUCAGCUAGAGUAUGAUAGAGGAAAGCAGAAUUUCUAGUGUAGAGGUGAAAUUCGUAGAUGUUAGAAAGAAUACCAAUUGCGAAGGCAGCUUUCUGGAUCAUUACUGACACUGAGGAACGAAAGCAUGGGUAGCGAAGAGGAUUAGAUACCCUCGUAGUCCAUGCCGUAAACGAUGUGUGUUAGACGUUGGAAAUUUAUUUUCAGUGUCGCAGGGAAACCGAUAA